rnacentral:rRNA from 1 species
AUUACUCCUACGGGAGGCAGCAGUCGAGGAUCUUCGGCAAUGGGCGCAAGCCUGACCGAGCGACGCCGCGUGUGCGAUGAAGGCCUUCGGGUUGUAAAGCACUGUCGGGAGGGAGAAAGCCGCAAGGUUGAUCUAUCUCUGGAGGAAGGACGGGCUAAGUUCGUGCCAGCAGCCGCGGUAAUAAU